GAAUAUUGGGCAAUGGGCGAAAGCCUGACCCAGCCAUGCCGCGUGCAGGAUGAAGGCCCUACGGGUCGUAAACUGCUUUUAUGCGGGAAGAAAAACCCGGUCGUGCACCGGGCUUGACUGUACCGCAUGAAUAAGCAUCGGCUAACUCCGUGCCAGCAGCCGCGGUAAUACGGAGGAUGCAAGCGUUAUCCGGAUUCACUGGGUUUAAAGGGUGCGUAGGCGGGAUAGUAAGUCAGUGGUGAAAGCCUACAGCUUAACUGUAGAAUUGCCAUUGAUACUGCUAUCCUUGAGUGCAGUUGAGGUAGGCGGAAUGUGGUAUGUAGCGGUGAAAUGCUUAGAUAUACCACAGAACACCGAUUGCGAAGGCAGCUUACUAAACUGCUACUGACGCUGAGGCACGAAAGCGUGGGGAGCAAACAG
rnacentral:rRNA from 1 species